ensembl:snRNA U6 U6 spliceosomal RNA
GUGCUUGUUUUGGCAGCACAUAUAGUAAACUUGGAAUGAUACGGAGAAGAUUAGCAUGGCCCCUAGGCAAAGAUGACAUGCAAAUUCAUGAAGCAUUCCAUAAAAAA